rnacentral:rRNA from 1 species
AGUCAAAUAUUCAUAGGAUAUGGAUGGGCUCGCGUGACAUUAGCUAGUUGGUGGGGUAACGGCCCACCAAGGCGACGAUGUCUAGGGGCUCUGAGAGGAGAAUCCCCCACACUGGUACUGAGACACGGACCAGACUCCUACGGGAGGCAGCAGUAAGGAAUAUUGGUCAAUGGGGGCAACCCUGAACCAGCCAUGCCGCGUGCAGGACGACUGCCCUAUGGGUUGUANACUGCUUUUGUUAGGGAAUAAACCCCGCUACGUGNANNNNNNUGAAUGUACCUAAAGAAUAAGGAUCGNNNAACUCCGUGCCAGCAGCCGCGGUAAUACGGAGGAUCCGGGCGUUAUCCGGAUUNNNUGGGUUUAAAGGGUGCGUANNNGGCACUUUAAGUCAGGGGUGAAAGACGGCAGCUCAACUGUCGCAGUGCCCUUGAUACUGAAGUGCUUGAAUGCGGUUGAAGACGGCGGAAUGAGACAAGUAGCGGUGAAAUGCAUAGAUAUGUCUCAGAACACCGAUUGCGAAGGCAGCUGUCUAAGCCGUUAUUGACGCUGAUGCACGAAAGCGUGUGGAUCGAACAGGAUUAGAUACCCUGGUNGUCCACGCCCUAAACGAUGAUGACUCGAUGUUUGCGAUAUACCG